rnacentral:rRNA from 1 species
GACGAACCGUGCUACCGUUGUUCGGAAUCACUGGGCUUAAAGGGCGCGUAGGCGGUCGUGACAAGUCACUUGUGAAAUCUCCGGGCUUAACUCGGAACGGUCAAGUGAUACUGUCGGACUAGAGUACAGAAGGGGCAACUGGAAUUCUCGGUGUAGCGGUGAAAUGCGUAGAUAUCGAGAGGAACACCUGCGGCGAAGGCGGGUUGCUGGGCUGAUACUGACGCUGAGGCGCGAAAGCCAGGGGAGCGAACGGG